GAUGAACGCUGGCGGCGUGCCUAAUACAUGCAAGUCGAGCGAACGGACGAGAAGCUUGCUUCUCUGAUGUUAGCGGCGGACGGGUGAGUAACACGUGGAUAACCUACCUAUAAGACUGGGAUAACUUCGGGAAACCGGAGCUAAUACCGGAUGAUAUUUUGAACCGCAUGGUUCAAAAGUGAAAGACGGUCUUGCGGUCACUUAUAGAUGGAUCCGCGCUGCAUUAGCUAGUUGGUAAGGUAACGGCUUACCAAGGCAACGAUGCAUAGCCGACCUGAGAGAGUGGUCGGCGACACUAGAACUGAGACACGGUCCAGGCGCCUGCGGGAGGGAGCAGUAGGGAAUCUUCCGCAAUAGGCGAAAGCCUGACGGAGCAACGCCGCGUGAGUGAUGAAGGUCUUCGGAUCGUAAAACUCUGUUAUUAGGGAAGAACAUAUGUGUAAGUAACUGUGCACAUCUUGACGGUACCUAAUCAGAAAGCCACGGCUAACUACGUG
rnacentral:rRNA from 1 species